AGGAUAGAGGCCUACCAUGGUGGUAACGGGUAACGGGGUGUUAGGGCACGACACCGGAGAGGGAGCCUGAGAAACGGCUACCACAUCCAAGGAUGGCAGCAGGCGCGCAAAUUACCCAAUCCCGACACGGGGAGGUAGUGACAAUAAAUAACAAUACGGGGUUCUUUAGGAUCUCGUAAUUGGAAUGAGUACAAUUUAAAUCUCUUAACGAGGAACAAUUGGAGGGCAAGUCUGGUGCCAGCAGCCGCGGUAAUUCCAGCUCCAAUAGCGUAUAUUAAAGUUGUUGCAGUUAAAAAGCUCGUAGUUGAAUUUCGGGGUUAGUAGGUUGGUCAUGCCUCUGGUAUGUACUGGUCUCACUGAUUCCUCCUUCCUGAUGAACCGUAAUGCCAUUAAUUUGGUGUUGCGGGGAAUUUGGACUGUUACUUUGAAAAAAUUAGAGUGUUUAAAGCAAGCUAACGCUUGAAUACAUUAGCAUGGAAUAAUGAAAUAGGACGUUCGAUCCUAUUUUGUUGGUUUCUAGGAUUGACGUAAUGAUUAAUAGGGAUAGUUGGGGGCAUUAGUAUUCAAUUGUCAGAGGUGAAAUUCUUGGAUUUAUUGAAGACUAACUACUGCGAAAGCAUUUGCCAAGGAUGUUUUCAUUAAUCAAGAACGAAAGUUAGGGGAUCGAAGACGGUCAGAUACCGUCGUAGUCUUAACCAUAAACUAUGCCGACUAGG
rnacentral:rRNA from 1 species